rnacentral:rRNA from 1 species
UACAGGGGGUGCAAACGUUGCUCGGAAUUACUGGGCGUAAAGGGCUCGUAGGUGGCCAACUAAGUCAGACGUGAAAUCCCUCGGCUUAACCGGGGAACUGCGUCUGAUACUGGAUGGCUUGAGUUUGGGAGAGGGACGCGGAAUUCCAGGUGUAGCGGUGAAAUGCGCAGAUAUCAGGAGGAACACCGGUGGCGAAGGCGGAUCUCUGGGCCAUUACUGACGCUGAGGAGCGAAAGCGUGGGGAGCGAACAGG